rnacentral:lncRNA from 1 species
GAGCCCUUUACUCAAAUUCAUAGCCUCAUUGUGUGCUCCUUCUGCAGUCCUCUGAUGUACAGCCACGUGGACUCAACGAUCGGUGUGUUAGGCCCGGUUCGACCAUUAAACGAGGAAAAUAUGGCCGCACAUUUUCUUCCAGCUAAAGAAAAACAUGAUGACAGCUACGUGGUGAAGCCCUGCAGAUCGAUUUGCCUGGCACCAGCUGCGAGACAAAGGCGACGCCAACCACAGCUUACAACUGUGCAAUCCGUAUUUCUAAACCGGACCUUGUGCGACCAAUCAACGGAUGGAAUUUGUUACAAACUGCUUGCCGGGUAUGCUUCAGGGUCUGCGCCUCCAACUUAACGUACAGUGACAAAAUGGCGUUGCAAAUAAGG